GACCCCAGGUCAGGUGGGACUACCCGCUGAGUUUAAGCAUAUCAAUAAGCGGAGGAGAAGAAACUUACAAGGAUUCCCUUAGUAACGGCGAGCGAACCGGGAAUAGCCCAGCUUGAAAAUCGGACGGUUUUGCUGUCUGA
rnacentral:rRNA from 1 species